AUAAAGCCCCUCGCUUACAUCGAGGCCAUGUCUGUUAAAUUCAGACCAUUUUGAGCCUAAAAUCUAGCCCACUAAACCCGCAUGAUAAACUUUCUUUAUCGUUUGUUAACAAAACAUUUUUACAACCUAGUACAGGAGAUCAAAAAGUUUCUAAGCGCUUCAGACAAAGUACCGCAAGGGAAAGAUGAAAUAAAAAUGAAACAAUUUUAAAGCCUAAAAAAGCAGAGAUACCCCCUCGUACCUUUUGCAUCAUGGUCUAGCUAGUUUUAUCAAGCAAAAAGAAAUUUUAGUUUGACACCCCGAAACUAAGUGAGCUACUUCAGAAUAACUCAAAGAGUCAACCCGUCUCUGUUGCAAAAGAGUGGGAAAAUUUUCAAGUAGAAGUGAUAAGCCUAUCGAACUUAGAGAUAGCUGGUUGCUCAGGAAAAGAGUUUUAGCUCUACCUUAAGUUUUCUUUUUUUCCUAUAAAAAUUUCCUUAAACUUAAGAGCUACUCAAAUAAGGUACAGCUUAUUUGAGACAGGAUACAACCUCCAAUAAUGGGUAAAUAAAGGUGUACAUAAUAAAGUUGGCCUAAAAGCAGCCACCUUCCAAAAAGCGUUACAGCUUAAUUUAUAUCACCUUCAAUUUAUAAAACCCCUCUGAACCCUUACCCCCUACUGAGCUAUUCUAUAUAUUAUAGAAGUUAUAAUGCUAGAACUAGUAACAAGAACCUGCCUUUCUCCUAAAUGUAUGUAUAAGCCAGAAUGGACCUCCCACUGACAUUUAACGUAUAUGAAAAUACUAUAAUAACGUCCCCCAAGAAAACCUUAUUAAUUAUUAACGUUAACCUUACACUAGAACAUUCCAGGAAAGAUUAAAAAAGAGAGAAGGAACUCGGCAAAUCUUAGCCCCGCCUGUUUACCAAAAACAUCGCCUCUUGCCAAAAUUAUAAGAGGUCCAGCCUGCCCGGUGACAAAGUUUAACGGCCGCGGUACCCUAACCGUGCAAAGGUAGCAUAAUCACUUGUUCCUUAAAUAGGGACUAGUAUCAACGGCACCACGAGGGCCAUACUGUCUCCUCUCCUCAAUCAGUGAAACUGAUCUCCCCGUGAAGAAGCGGGGAUUAAACUAUAAGACGAGAAGACCCCAUGGAGCUUUAAGCAACAUCUUCAUCUCUUUUUUUCAUCAACCUAAUAUAAAAUGAAUUGAAUUCUAGCUUUAGAUUGGGGAGAUCGCGGAGUACAAAUCAACCUCCACGACAAACGGACAGUGUCCUUAUCCAUGAACCACAUUUCUAAGAAUUAGCACACUAAUGUUUUUGACCCAUAUAUAUAUGAUCAACGAACCAAGUUACCCUGGGGAUAACAGCGCAAUCUACUUUAAGAGUCCAUAUCGACAAGUAGGUUUACGACCUCGAUGUUGGAUCAGGACAUCCCAGUGGUGCAGCCGCUAC
rnacentral:rRNA from 1 species